rnacentral:rRNA from 1 species
GAUGAACGCUGGCGGCGUGCCUAAUACAUGCAAGUCGAGCGAACAGACGAGGAGCUUGCUCCUCUGACGUUAGCGGCGGACGGGUGAGUAACACGUGGAUAACCUACCUAUAAGACUGGGAUAACUUCGGGAAACCGGAGCUAAUACCGGAUAAUAUAUUGAACCGCAUGGUUCAAUAGUGAAAGACGGUUUUGCUGUCACUUAUAGAUGGAUCCGCGCCGCAUUAGCUAGUUGGUAAGGUAACGGCUUACCAAGGCAACGAUGCGUAGCCGACCUGAGAGGGUGAUCGGCCACACUGGAACUUAGCCACGGUCCAGACUCCUACGGGAGGCAGCAGUAGGGAAUCUUCCGCAAUGGGCGAAAGCCUGACGGAGCAACGCCGCGUGAGUGAUGAAGGUCUUCGGAUCGUAAAACUCUGUUAUUAGGGAAGAACAAAUGUGUAAGUAACUAUGCACGUCUUGACGGUACCUAAUCAGAAAGCCACGGCUAACUACGUG